UUCGGACUGCAGGCUGAAACUUGCUGCNCGAAGUUGGAAUUGCUAGUAAUCGCGGAUCAGCAUGCCGCGGUGAAUACGUUCCCGGGUCUUGUACACACCGCCCGUCACACCAUGGGAGCUGGUAACACCCGAAGUCAGUAGUCUAACCGCAAGGAGGACGCUGCCGAAGGUGGGAUUAGCGACUGGGGUGAAGUCGUAACAAGGUACC
rnacentral:rRNA from 1 species